rnacentral:rRNA from 1 species
CCUACGGGAGGCAGCAGUGGGGAAUAUUGCACAAUGGGGGAAACCCUGAUCCAGCGACGCCGCGUGAGUGAAGAAGUAACUCGUUAUGUAAAGCUUCAUUAGCAGGGAAGAAAAUGAUGGUACCUGAGUAAGAAGCCCCGGCUAAAUACGUGCCAGCAGCGGCGGUAACACGUAGGGGGCAAGCGUUAUCCGGAUUUACUGGGUGUAAAGGGAGCGUAGGCGGCAGUGAAAGUCUGGAGUGAAAGGCGGGGGCUCAACCCUCGGACUGCUCUGGAAACUGUACGGCUGGAGUGCAGGAGAGGUAAGUGGAAUUCCUGGUGUAGCGGUGAAAUGCGUAGAUAUUAGGAAGAACACCGGUGGCGAAGGCAGCUUACUGGACUGUAACUGACGUUGAGGCUCGAAAGCGUGGGGAGCAAACAGGAUUAGAUACCCUUGUAGUC